rnacentral:rRNA from 1 species
UACAGAGGUCCCGAGCGUUGUUCGGAUUCACUGGGCGUAAAGGGUGCGUAGGUGGUGGGGUAAGUCUCGUGUGAAAGCUCGCAGCUUAACUGCGAAAAGUCACGGGAUACUAUUCCGCUGGAGGCUUGGAGGGGGGACUGGAAUACUUGGUGUAGCAGUGAAAUGCGUAGGUAUCAAGUGGAACACCAGUGGCGAAGGCGAGUCCCUGGACAAGACCUGACACUGAGGCACGAAAGCCAGGGGAGCAAACAGG